rnacentral:tRNA from 1 species
UGCUCGAUUAGCUCAGAGGGAGAGCACCGAGGGGCCAUCUCGGGGGGCGUAGGUUCGAAUCCUACAUCGACAAA